rnacentral:ncRNA from 2 species
AAUCCACACUAGGGGUGCUUUUUUGCUGAGACGGUCUCGCCGAACCCUUUUAACCUGAUCUAGUUAAGACUAGCGUAGGAAAUGUGUCACUGAAACAGU